rnacentral:rRNA from 1 species
CCUACGGGAGGCUGCAGUAGGGAAUAUUGCACAAUGGGCGAAAGCCUGACGCAGCGACGCCGCGUGAGGGAUGAAGGUCUUCGGAUCGUAAACCUCUGUCAUCAGGGAAGAAAGGGCACUGUGCUAAUCAGCAAUGAAUUGACGGUACCUGAAAAGGAAGCACCGGCUAACUCCGUGCCAGCAGCCGCGGUAAUACGGAGGGUGCGAGCGUUAAUCGGAAUUACUGGGCGUAAAGCGCUCGUAGGCGGUAUGUCAAGUCAAGUGUGAAAUCCCCGGGCUUAACGUGGGAAGUGCCUUGGAAACUGGCAAACUGGAGUGUGUGAGAGGAUAGUGGAAUUCCAGGUGUAGGAGUGAAAUCCGUAGAUAUCUGGAGGAACAUCAGUGGCGAAGGCGACUAUCUGGCACAUAACUGACGCUGAGGAGCGAAAGCGUGGGUAGCAAACAGGAUUAGAUACCCGAGUAGUC